ACAUGUGGACUGCUUCGACUCGUCGGAGGAUGCUUGCCGGCUCUCUGCUCGUGUGCUCUCGCUGCUCCGAUCAUGCAUCUGCUUUACUAAAGUGGGAUAAAAAAUACAUAUAUAUAUACAUAUAUAUAUAUAAAAUGUGUUUCUUUCACUCGCUCGCAAAUGUGGACUGGUUUUUGAGACAGGGGCUCGGAGACAGAAGCGGGCUGGAGGGACGCUGCUAAGAGAGGUGCAAUCGCCGCAAAGAUGUUUUUCUUAGACGCUCCAGCAGACAGGAAUCCACUGGCAAGAAGAAAGCCCCGGUCUUCCCCACGAGAGCAAGAGUACAAAGCCCCCCAGUCUGCACACAGCAGAUGCAGGGAAAGCUAGUCCAUCUGCCACCAGCUUGCCGAGCCACAUGGGCCUGAGAGCGUUAAUGCAAGCGGAGUGAGGUGUUUAUUCCCUCCAUGGCUCCUCUUCUGGGGGUUUCUGCUACCAAGGUCAGGGGAUACAAGCAAGCCCACCAGCGCACUGAUGAGGUGGCAGCAGAAAAACGGGGGAGAGAAACAGACAUGUGGAGUGGGUACAGCGAGGAGGGUGGGGGUGGCAGCUGGUUACCAACCUUGGCAAGAGCAGCAGGAGCGUCAUGACAACGGAAGCGGAGGAUGUUGACUUCCAUUUCAUCUCAACGCAGCGAUUUCAGCGGUUUGCACACAACUACAGAGACUUUUGAAACCAUCCAUUUUCAAUCAAGGUUGGGACAAAGUGAAUUGCUUUGGGGUAAUUAGAUAAAGACAGGCAGAGUUGGUUUACGUAUCCCUUCAUCACACAAGAUGGUGAGAAGAAUAGCUUGAGAGUUGUUGUUUGACAUUAAACUGACUAAUCUCCGGGUACUCUGAGCAUUAGGGAUAUUUCAAGUUGCACCUAGAAACUGGACAAUGAUUGAGGUCGACAUUUUUUUCAACUUAAUUGGCUUUGAGCAGUAGUUCUUUGGAUGCACAAAUAAAAAUUUCCAGCACUGAAUGAACCAUACAACACUAGCAGGUUGUGAUGUCAAACACUCUUCAGUGUGGACACUGUGACACAGUGAAGACUUAAAUAUGGCCAUUUUCCACAAGAGUGAGGUCUUUGAAGAUGAAAUCAAAUGAAAGACUAAAGCUGUUGGAAAAUAUUUAAAAGGGAAAUAUUUCCCCGAUUUGCCUGCUGUUUAUUCAGGCUGUCACAAAAUAAUUGCUUUGUUUAUCUAUUUUACAAAUUUAAAAGUCAAUUAAGAGUCUAUUUUCUUUAGGAGUGAAGGAUAAACCCAACGGUUAACAGCACCUUGCACACAGUCUUGUUCUAUAAUGCUAUAACAAUUAGUUGUCUUUGUGACGUCACCUCUGCUUCUUCAAUAAAUAAUUACA